CUAAAUAAAUUGAAUAUGACAAUUUGCCCAGAAAAUUAUUUGUUCACUAGAUAUUGAGUCGGAAGUGAGACUUUUUCUUUAAAUCUAAUUUCAUUUUCUUCUUUUCGUAAUCUUCUUUGUGCUAAGCUUCGCGAUGUCAACUGCUGGAAAUCCAGGUGCAGAAUUGGUGACAGCUUUAACAUCGGGACUAAGUAUGAAAAUGAAGUUUUUUAAAAGGAAAUGAAGUUCGAAAAUUGAUAUGUUUUCUUAAUCUCUUUUUCUGGAUCAAUCACCAUUGUCGUUUGAUGUGAUAAUAGCUGCAGGUAACAUCAUAUUUUCAUGUUACAACCUAAUAAAUCUUGUACAUUUUUUUUAUUAAAUUUCUCUUCUGGAUAAAUCGUAUGUGAUCUCGCAUGUGGAAUGGGAAAUUACAGUCCUACGAGAAUUGCCUCUGAAUUCGGUAUGGGGAUUUAUAGCUCUACUGACAGCAAUCGUAGCGAUAUUUGGUAUGAAUAUGUCUUUUAAGAAAUUGAAGAUUUGAGAAUUAUACUUAUACUUCUUUUAUUUUUUCCUGUGUAUCUAUCAAACUUGAAUUUGGUCGUAAUAUGGUGGAUUAUAGGGGCAUUAGGUACAAGCAUGACUUCAAACUUUUUGAAUACAU